UACGAAGGGGGCUAGCGUUGCUCGGAAUCACUGGGCGUAAAGCGCACGUAGGCGGCUUCUUAAGUCAGGGGUGAAAUCCUGGAGCUCAACUCCAGAACUGCCUUCGAUACUGGGAGGCUCGAGUCCGGGAGAGGUGAGUGGAACUGCGAGUGUAGAGGUGAAAUUCGUAGAUAUUCGCAAGAACACCAGUGGCGAAGGCGGCUCACUGGCCCGGUACUGACGCUGAGGUGCGAAAGCGUGGGGAGCAAACAGG
rnacentral:rRNA from 1 species